rnacentral:tRNA from 1 species
GGAUGUGGCUCAAGCGGUAAUGCACUUGCCUGGUAUGCGAGGGGCGCUGGGUUCGAUCCUCAGCACCA